UACGUAGGCGGUUUUGUAAGUUAGAGGUGAAAGCCCGGGGCUCAACCCCGGAAUUGCCUUUAAGACUGCAUCGCUUGAAUCAUGGAGAGGUGAGUGGAAUUCCGAGUGUAGAGGUGAAAUUCGUAGAUAUUCGGAAGAACACCAGUGGCGAAGGCGACUCACUGGACAUGUAUUGACGCUGAGGUACGAAAGCGUGGGGAGCAAACA
rnacentral:rRNA from 1 species